rnacentral:rRNA from 1 species
AGUGAACGCUGGCGGCAGGCCUAACACAUGCAAGUCGAACGGCAGCACAGUAAGAGCUUGCUCUUACGGGUGGCGAGUGGCGGACGGGUGAGGAAUACAUCGGAAUCUACUUUUUCGUGGGGGAUAACGUAGGGAAACUUACGCUAAUACCGCAUACGAUCUACGGGUGAAAGCAGGGGAUAUUCGGACCUUGCGCGAUUGAAUGAGCCGAUGUCGGACUAGCUAGUUGGGGGGGUAAAGGCCCACCAAGGCGACGAUCCGUAGCUGGUCUGAGAGGAUGGUCGGCCACACUGGAAGGGAGACACGGUCCAGACUCCUACGGGAGGCAGCAGUGGGGAAUGGUAGGCAAUGGGGGCAAGCCUGAUCCAGCCAUACCGCGUGGGUGAAGAAGGCCUUCGGGUUGUAAAGCCCUUUUGUUGGGAAAGAAAAGCAGCAGGUCGAUACCCCGCUGUUCUGACGGUACCCAAUGAAUAAGCACCGGCUAACUUCGUG